GCUCCGUGGGUGAGGCAGCGGACUCUACUAUACUUGGUGCCGUACAACCGCCUCAAUCGGGCUCGCGAGAGC